UAUCUUCUUUGCUGCACCAGAAACACUCUUUGUCCAUCUUUCCUUGUUUCUUUCUUUUCUUCUUUCUUUGCUCUAGGAUCAGUAGCUUCUUACAUCUUACAACAGCCCUCCUUUUCUUUCAUCGAAAAUCAUAAAUAUCUCUCUAUAAGAAGAAAUCAAACUCUUACUAAAGUUUAAUUUCAAAGGUUGUGGGUGACGAGAAUGAGAACAUGGACACUUGAGCUCCUCUUAUACAAAUCUCUCGCGUCCUCUGUUUUCAGCUCACUUUAUUAUAUUUCAGCGCACAUGUUCUUCCUGAAAGCAGCAAGAGUAUUAGAGGUGGCAAGGAUUUUGUUAGAUUGUAGAGUUUUUUUUUUUUUUUUGUAUAGUAGUUUAGCUCUUUUGUUGUAUAGGAGGAAUCAAGAUGUACUUGAUCCUUGAGCACAGAUGUAAUUCAGAACCUUAGUUUGUUUUGAACUCCAAUUGUAUGUCUUUGGGGUUAGGUUUAUAAUAAGAUUUUUGCUAAACGUUUAACUA